rnacentral:rRNA from 1 species
CAGGGCGGGGUGCUAUACAUGCAGUCGAGCGCGGGAAGCAAGCAAUCACCCUUCGGGGUGAGCGCUUGUGGAACGAGCGGCGGACGGGUGAGUAACACGUGGGCAACCUGCCUGUGAGACUGGGAUAACCCCGGGAAACCGGGGCUAAUACCGGAUACCUCUUUUCUUUGCAUAAAGAGAAGAUGAAAGGCGGCCUUUGGCUGUCACUCACAGAUGGGCCCGCGGCGCAUUAGCUGGUUGGUGGGGUAAUGGCCCACCAAGGCGACGAUGCGUAGCCGACCUGAGAGGGUGAUCGGCCACACUGGGACUGAGACACGGCCCAGACUCCUACGGGAGGCAGCAGUAGGGAAUCAUCCGCAAUGGACGAAAGUCUGACGGUGCAACGCCGCGUGAGUGAUGAAGGUUUUCGGAUCGUAAAACUCUGUUGUCAGGGAAGAACACGUGCCGCAUGAAUAAGGCGGUGCAUUGACGGUACCUGACCAGAAAGCCCCGGCUAACUACGUGCCAGCAGCCGCGGUAAUACGUAGGGGGCAAGCGUUGUCCGGAAUUAUUGGGCGUAAAGCGCACGCAGGCGGUCUUUUAAGUCUGAUGUGAAAUCUCGCGGCUCAACCGCGAGCGGUCAUUGGAAACUGGAGGACUUGAGUGCAGAAGAGGAGAGUGGAAUUCCACGUGUAGCGGUGAAAUGCGUAGAGAUGUGGAGGAACACCAGUGGCGAAGGCGACUCUCUGGUCUGUAACUGACGCUGAGGUGCGAAAGCGUGGGGAGCGAACAGGAUUAGAUACCCUGGUAGUCCACGCCGU